UUCCACGGUCGCCUCAGG
rnacentral:snRNA from 1 species